GCCGUAGACGCCACGGAGGCUGCCGCUGCCAUACUGCACGGAGAAGGUCUGCCCGUGGCCGGAGAGACACGCGCUGAGAACUUAGUAAGCAGCGGAGUGGAGUGACAUGGAAAGACUGUUGUCGACUUUGGUGAGAUGGAAUGGUGUCGUCUGCAGGGAACAGAAUGGAGCAGAGCAGAGUGGCAUGGAUGGAGCCGGAGGGCAGAGGGCAGACUGGAGCAGGUGAAGGAGCAUGUGUUGGUGAGAGGGAAGACAAACAGACCACCCAGGCCUAGGGCCAGCCUCUUCCUUUGGUCUUGCACAUGCCCCUUGACCCUGGCCAAGUCCCUGACUCUCAGGAUUGAAGCCCCCAGGCCCCACCAUCCCUGCCACGCUUGCCCCUUCCCCCAAGGCGGUCCGCACCCUCCCUUGCCAACCACUCUCCCUAGCGAGCCCUGCACUUACCACAGGCCUGGCUCUGGCACUGGACCGAGGGCACCCACAGGCUGGAGGAUCCGGUAUCAAAAAGGACCAGAAAGUUCUGCGGUGGGGUCCCGAUGGCGAUUUCUCCAAGGCGCAGUGGAAGUUGGCCUGGGUGUUCUGGAGCCCAGACCCGCCCUGGAAUUGGAACUGAUGAAGUCUGCACUUCUGCCCCCGUCUCCCUCGGGUUCUCCUCCUCCAAGACCUGCUUGCUGCCAUCGCCUCAGGGGUCUCUGUGGGUCCACCCAGGCUCAUUCCGGACUCCAGAAGUCCUGCUCCUUGCAUUUCUUUCCCCACCUGAUUCCCCAUUCCCUCAAGACCCCGCAUUCGCUCCCCAUUCUGCACGGAACCCAUUCACGUUGAGCUUUGAAGACUGAUGGUUGUUCGGGCUCGCCGCUUCCCCAGAACUUGCGUAUCACACACAGGUUUCUUCGAGGAGCCUUGUCUUCAGCAGAGGCAUCGGUCUUCAUGGGUGAGACGGGCAGCCGUGUGCAGGCCAGGCGCCCUCCCAGGUCCUGGGAGCCACGCCUCCUCGCUCCCUUUCUCCUGACAUCUCUGCGAGUGCACGUUACGUUCCUGCUGUCUCUGCUUACAUGCCUGUGCCAUCUGCUAAAUAAAUCAUGGGCCUUAAGGGA